rnacentral:rRNA from 1 species
UACGGAGGGUGCAAGCGUUAUCCGGAUUCACUGGGUUUAAAGGGUGCGUAGGUGGGUUGGUAAGUCCGUGGUGAAAUCCCCGAGCUUAACUUGGGAACUGCCAUGGAUACUAUUAAUCUUGAAUGUCGUGGAGAUGAGCGGAAUAUGUCAUGUAGCGGUGAAAUGCUUAGAUAUGACAUAGAACACCAAUUGCGAAGGCAGCUCGUUACGCGAAUAUUGACACUGAUGCACGAAAGCGUGGGGAGCAAACAGG